UUAUAACAAUGAUGAUGAGAAUUAUAAGAUGAUGAGAAUUAUAUGCAUACCUCAAUUUUAGAAAAUGACGAUGAGAAUUAUAACAAUGAUGGAGAUUACAGCUUCAGAGAUGAUGACAAUUACGAUGAUUUCGAAAUGGUGACAGGCAAAAGAAAAUCAAAAAGGUCCACCGGUGCAAACAACCGAUUUCAUAGAGGUGGAAAAAAGUUCAACACGUAUCGGUGAAAAAGAGACAACUUGUAAUCAGCAAGAACUUUAACUUUGACGUAUCUUGAAUCAUUUAAUAUCAGAAAGUGGGGUUUUAUCCUGAUAGUGAGACUAUUUUACACUUAAAAUAGAGAAAAUAGUUUUGUUUAGUUACUUGUUCUGUUCAGUUGUUCUGUUCGCUUUUAUUUUUAGAGUGCUCUGAUGUUAAAAUAUUUUUAUAUCAGAUGUAAUCACUGUUAACAACCUUUUUUCAGAAUUUUGAAAUUUUAAAAGUUUAGCUCUUCGGGGUAAAUAAUUGGAUAUUUUUAAAUGAUAUGUAAUCGAAA